GCAAACCUAAUUCAGUCUGGGACUGAGACAGAUUCCAAACCUGUUGGUAAGGGGUUCGAUUCCUCUGCUUCGUGCCA
rnacentral:tRNA from 1 species